rnacentral:lncRNA from 1 species
GUGGCUGAGCCCGGGAGCUGGGGAGAGGGACUGCAGCUGCCUUGUCCAGGUUGGAGGCAGUACAGUAUGUUCAGGGAGUCUCCAGUCCCCUAAGCUUGUCUAAAGUACUAUUCAUAUUGAAUAACUUGUUAACUAGACUCAGAAGACUUGCUAAAACCCAGUGUAACAAAGACAUUUCCUACUUCUCCAUCUGUAUUCAUAGGCCACACCCCCUAUACUCCACAGGGCUACACUGCAGUCCCCCAUCUAUAAGUAUCAGAGAGGAUAGCGUUCAUGCACAUUUCCUUCCUGGCUUCUGCCUUCAACCCCGACCCAGUCUCCCCCCACUGGCAUUUAUCCAGGACUCUUCACAGCCAGGGUCCAUGAUGGAGCUGCCUUCUGUCACCGUUCCAUGUAGCCUCUCAUCAUUGCUUCUCCUUUUGUCUUCCAGGACCUGCUGAUGGUGACCUACCUGGCCAAUCUCACCCAGUCACAGAUUGCCCUCAACGAGAAACUUGUAAACCUGUGAAUGGGCCCCAAGAGCACUUGUGCUGGUCGAGGUUUUCACCACAGGCUUGAGACUGAAGUGGAGGCAAAGGGUUUCUUUGUGGUCUUGAGUCACAGUGACUCAAUCAGCUCCUUGUGACUCCAAAUAAACAGAGCUUAACCUUUUGU